ACUUGUCUAGCUCAGUUGGUAUAGUGCAAGGCUCUUAACUUAAGGUCGUGGGUUUGAGCCCCACCAUGAGUG
rnacentral:tRNA from 1 species